CCGAUCCAACCAUUUUUUAUUGCCGUAUUCAAUCGCUGAUUUGUAGCGCAGGCGUCACACGCGGGUCGGGCAGAUCGCUGCGUUGGGGUGGAUGCGGAUCCAUACGCCGCCGCCGAUCGCGUGUUUCAAUUAGCUAGGGAUUGUAGGGCACUUAUAUUCGUGAUUGUCUAUUUAUUAUACGCCUGGGAUCCGUGGAAUUGAGCAACGGUGUUCUGGUGCACGAUGCGUCUUACGAAUUCUAUGCAAUGCAACCAACCAACCAACCGCCCAUGGCUGCUGAGGCCUCCGUGCUAGCUCGUGCAGCGGUUCCAAUGGCCUGCCUUUUUGCAAAAAUCUGAAGUAUAUAGGCUCUGAAGUAUCCUGCGCAAUGAGGAUAUGAAUUUAUGGCUUUAUGCUUUAAAAUAAACCUCUUCAGUAGGAGGAGCAGUCAUGAAUCUGCAUAUGUUUUUGAAUGGAUGAUUGCACUAAAAAAUGAUUGGUAUGCACUGCUCUGUACAAAUUAUCUAUAUAUUUGGAAGUUUGGUUUCUGUUUCUGAGAAGUAUACUCUUUGCUGUUGGGAAGUGUAAGUGUAUUGUCUCAUUUUUUCUGGUGUGCAUCUAAUCCUAAUGCGUCGUUCCUUGUUUAUCUCAGUUUAUUUUGUGUAAGUCGACAGUUCAGUUUUGUGCUUUUUAACAGUUCACCCUUGUGUCCAGGUAGCGUCGUGCGACUCGACGGAGCUCCUGAUUUUCGCUACACACACUUCUCCUAAUCUGUGAACCUCACUUCUACUAAUCUGUGAAGCUCACUUCUCUUAAUUUGUGAAGUUCACUUGCCCAUCGUGAGAAUUCCUGAUUCGGCAGAGAUAGCAGUUAACUUCCACGAUGCAGAGUUCACUUGGUCCACAGAGGGUACAAAAAGUUAAUUUUUUCAGAGGGGGAGUCCGCUUAAUUCUUGGGGCAGAGUUCACUAUUGCUUGUCCAGAGAUUUUUAAUGAGGAACUUAUUUCGUUUGAGUAGUGAGUAAUUUUUUACAACAUUGAGCAAUUUUAUUACAGACAAACACAAGUGAACUUUUAAUGAUGUAUUGUCCUGAGGCUUUUCUCACUACAUAAUCGAGUGCAAAACUGUUGUUGUUUUAGUUUAGAACUGCCCAAACUUCAGAGCUAAACUACAAUAUUUUGGCUUAAGAACUACUGCUAGUUCAUAGCUGAACAUUUGCUUGUUCCCUCGACAGCAUGCUUGGCCUCCCUCAUGACCAUUCAGGAUCUCCGCCGCCACCUGAACUAAGGUGUAUGUUUCUCUACGAACCGCUGCUGACUAGUUUGUGAACUUGCUCAAUGACCUGCACAACUCUGAACUGCCUGAUGCUAAUUCAGAAUUCUCUGUGUCAGAAAGUUCGCCUUGUGCAUUCUUGAAGUUCAAAUAUAAUCGAACCAUCUUCACUUUUGUUGGACAGUUUACUUGGGACAUAAUGGGAAGCUCAAUUUUCACAUCGUGAAAGUUCAUUUCAUUUUUCUAUGAAACAAACUAAAUGGUAAUGGUGAGUUCACUUUUGUAAAAGUGAAGUUCACUCCGCAAAUAAAAUGAAGUUCAUUUGAACAAAAAUGCAUAUUGCUGCAAUCUUGUUUUGAUGUAUAAAAGCAUUAUCUAGUAUUUCGUUUGAUCUUAACCAUCUACUACUGUCUACUAUUAUCCUUAUGCUUCCUUUUUUGUUAUAUGUAAGGAACACUACUUGACCGAGCCUACUAUGCUAUAUCUAAGAGGUGGCAUGAUGAUCCGGUAAUACUCCACGGGGAUUUCAACGCUUAAACUUAAGUACCCACAAGCAGCAUUGCAACGAGCUGGGAGUUCUUGCGGCUGGCUCCUGUGGUUGUCACUGCAAGUCAUGCUCUUCAUUGCAUGAAGCAGCCGAGCACAAAUGCACAACAGGAAUAAAGAAAUGUAGCUACACUGGACUUCCUUGUCGGUGCCUUCAUAUGCAUCUCUUCCGCUUGACACAGCGACGCCGCGAGUGACAAGGCUGCCACCCCACACUGCUGCAUCUGCUCCGCGAGUAACGCUGCUCUUUGAAUCCCUCCUGUGUUGUCUUUUUUAUGACAGGUGUUGGCGACCUGGGAGUCCAUCGCUCGCAGCCAUGGGAAGUCCAUCAAUGUCGUCCACAAUGUCCGACAGGGAACAACAUCAUCAGGAGUUCGCUUCUUCUAAUCUAUUUCUGCAGUAGCAUGUCGCGCUGGUGGCGGUCAUGUCCUAAAAUUAUUGGCCGGGGCCCUGUGCUGCUGAUUCCUUGGCCGAUACCUUCUGCGAGUGGGUGCGUGCUCCUCCGGCAGGGUAGCAGCUUGGGCGAUGAAUUCAACAAGACUUAUAGAGCUUGGCUGGAAGACACUAUAAUAUUUUUGAAUUAGCUCAUGUAUUUAGGGGAGAAGUUUUUCUGCACUUCAACGUGGCUAUUUAGGAUUCAUACUUCCUUAUUUGGGAUAUGAACUUCAACGUGGCUCCAUGAUCGCAUGCCGUUGAGAAGUUUUGUAGCAUUUUUCCUCCGUGAAGUGUUACUGUGUCUGACUUUCACUUUUGCCUUUAACUCUGAUUACUUGUAAUAAUUUGGGGAAAUGAAUAACAUGUACUUGUGUUGAUGUGUAAUAGAAAAAAUAAGAAGUUCAUUUUUA